CCUUGUCAUUGGUUGAUAUCUGCUCCCAGAGCAUCCCAACUAAGCUGACUACAGAUACAAGUCGCCUGGAAUAUGAGACAAACCUCAUGGAAACAGAACAGCAGAUGGAACAGAUAAGCAAGAAAGGAAGCAAAUGGAAUUUGCCUUUGAAGUUUCUACACAGAAAUAAGAAGGAAAAUGGAAAAAAGAAAAGAGGUCCUGGAUUGUUCUCCCGAUUCUUCCACUAAUUUUUUCCAAGGUCUUUCUUUAAACUUCGCCAAGUUCUUUCAACAUUUUCUCCAAGUUCUUCCAAUAAACCAUGCUCACAGAUAAUGCCAUGAUGGACCAUAUUUUGCAUUUAUUGAAGACUUUUCCCGUCAGAUCAUCUAUUAAUUUUUA